rnacentral:piRNA from 1 species
UAUCCUCAACCAGAAAUAGAAAAAGGAUCUU